UACGUAGGUGGCGAGCGUUAUCCGGAUUUAUUGGGUUUAAAGGGUGCGUAGGCGGACCUGUAAGUCAGUGGUGAAAUCUCUCAGCUUAACUGAGAAACUGCCAUUGAUACUGCAAGUCUAGAGUAUAGAUGACGUUGGCGGAAUAUGACAUGUAGUGGUGAAAUACUUAGAUAUGUCAUAGAACACCGAUUGCGAAGGCAGCUAACGAAACUAUAACUGACGCUGAGGCACGAAAGUGCGGGGAUCAAACAGG
rnacentral:rRNA from 1 species